UGCUGUGAUGGUGUAAUUUGCGUCUGACCCUGCGCACAGUGACAGUUGCCUGCUGUCUCCAUGCUGGCGCAGGUGGUUGAUGAACAUUCAGGUCUGAGCA